rnacentral:rRNA from 1 species
CGUAGGAUCCGAGCAUUAUCCGGAUUUACUGGGUGUAAAGGGUGCGUAGGUGGCAUGGCAAGUCAGAAGUGAAAGGCCGGGGCCCAACCCCGGGACUGCUCUGGAAACUGCCAGGCUAGAGUGCUGGAGAGGUAAGUGGAAUUCCUAGUGUAGCGGUGAAAUGCGUAGAUAUUAGGAGGAACACCAGUGGCGAAGGCGGCUUACUGGACAGUGACUGACGCUGAGGCUCGAAAGCGUGGGGAGCAAAC